rnacentral:rRNA from 2 species
GACUGGCCCAGGGAGGUCGGCAACGACCACCCAGGGCCGGAAAGUUGGUCAAACUCGGUCAUUUAGAGGAAGUAAAAGUCGUAACAAGGUCUCCGUAGGUGAACCUGCGGAGGGAUCAUUA